AUGAAAGGAGAACUGAUCAAAAUCAGCUGGGGAGCCAAAGCUCCUAGUUCCUUCAGGGAAGGGACCACCUUCAGGGAAGGGACCACCUUCAGGGACCAUCCUCAGGGACCAUCCUCAGGGACCCACCUUCAGGGAAGGGACCAUCUUCAGGGACCACCUUCAGGGAAGGGACCAUCUUCAGGGACCACCUUCAGGGACCACCUUCAGGAAGGGACCAUCUUCAGGGAGGACCAUCUUCAGGGACCAUCUUCAGGGGACCACCUUCAGGGACCACCUUCAGGGAAGGGACCAUCUUCAGGGAAGGGACCAUCUUCAGGGAAGGGACCAUCUUCAGGGAAGGGACCAUCUUCAGGGACCACCUUCAGGGACCACCUUCAGGGAAGGGACCAUCUUCAGGGAAGGGACCACCUUCAGGGAAGGGACCAUCUUCAGGGACCACCUUCAGGGAAGGGACCAUCUUCAGGGACCACCUUCAGGGACCAUCUUCAGGGAAGGGACCAUCUUCAGGGACCACCUUCAGGGAAGGGACCAUCUUCAGGGACCACCUUCAGGGACCACCUUCAGGGAAGGGACCAUCUUCAGGGACCACCUUCAGGGACCAUCUUCAGGGAAGGGACCAUCUUCAGGGACCACCUUCAGGGAAGGACCAUCUUCAGGGAAGGGACCACCUUCAAGGAAGGGACCAUCUUCAGGGAAGGGACCAUCUUCAGGGACCACCUUCAGGGAAGGGACCAUCUUCAGGGACCACCUUCAGGGACCAUCUUCAGGGACCACCUUCAGGGACCAUCUUCAGGGACCACCUUCAGGGAAGGGACCACCCUUCAGGGAAGGGACCACCUUCAGGGACCAUCCUCAGGGACCACCUUCAGGGACCAUCCUCAGGGACCACCUUCAGGGACCACCUUCAGGGAAGGGACCACCUUCAGGGACCAUCCUCAGGGACCACCUUCAGGGACCAUCCUCAGGGACCAUCUUCAGGGACCACCUUCAGGGACCAUCCUCAGGGACCAGUUUCGGCCAGCUGAGGAUCACGUUCACCUCUUUACCAGAGAGAUGAACACUCCGAGCACCCGUCCACGUUAG
rnacentral:lncRNA from 1 species